GAUGAACGCUGGCGGCGUGCCUAAUACAUGCAAGUCGAGCGAACGGACGAGAAGCUUGCUUCUCUGAUGUUAGCGGCGGACGGGUGAGUAACACGUGGAUAACCUACCUAUAAGACUGGGAUAACUUCGGGAAACCGGAGCUAAUACCGUAUAAUAUUUUGAGCCGCAUGGUUCAAUAGUGAAAGACGGUCUUGCUGUCACUUAUAGCUGGAUCCGCGCUGCAUUAGCUAGUUGGUAAGGUAACGGCUUACCAAGGCAACGAUGCAUAUCCGACCUGAGAGGGUGAUCGGCCACACGGGAACUGAGACAAGGUCCAGACGACUAAGGGAGGCAGCAGUAGGGAAUCUUCCGCAAUGGGCGAAAGCCUGACGGAGCAACGCCGCGUGAGUGAUGAAGGUCUUCGGAUCGUAAAACUCUGUUAUUAGGGAAGAACAUAUGUGUAAGUAACUGUGCACAUCUUGACGGUACCUAAUCAGAAAGCCACGGCUAACUACGUG
rnacentral:rRNA from 1 species